rnacentral:rRNA from 1 species
CCUACGGGUGGCAGCAGUGGGGAAUAUUGCACAAUGGGCGAAAGCCUGAUGCAGCGACGCCGCGUGAGUGAAGAAGUAUUUCGGUACGUAAAACUCUAUCAGCAGGGAAGAAAAUGACGGUACCUGACUAAGAAGCCCCGGCUAACUACGUGCCAGCAGCCGCGGUAAUACGUAGGGGGCAAGCGUUAUCCGGAUUUACUGGGUGUAAAGGGAGCGUAGACGGCAGCGCAAGUCUGAAGUGAAAUCCCAUGGCUUAACCAUGGAAGUGCUGUGGAUACUGUACAGCUGGAGUGCAGUAGAGGUAAGCGGAAUUCCUAGUGUAGCGGUGAAAUGCGUAGAUAUCUGGAGGAACAUCAGUGGCGAAGGCGACUAUCUG